GAUGAACGCUGGCGGCGUGCUUAACACAUGCAAGUCGAACGGAGAAAGGGUAGCUUGCUAUCUUUUCUUAGUGGCGGACGGGUGAGUAACGCGUGGGUAACCUGCCCUUUGCAGGGGGAUAACAGUGAGAAAUCACUGCUAAUACCGCAUACCAACUUCUUUCGCAUGAAGGAAGUUUGAAAGAUUUAUCGGCAAAGGAUGGACCCGCGUUGGAUUAGCUAGUUGGUGAGAUAACAGCCCACCAAGGCAACGAUCCAUAGCCGGCCUGAGAGGGUGAACGGCCACACUGGGACUGAGACACGGCCCAGACUCCUACGGGAGGCAGCAGUGGGGAAUAUUGCACAAUGGGCGAAAGCCUGAUGCAGCGACGCCGCGUGAAGGAUGAAGGUCUUCGGAUUGUAAACUUCUAUCAGCAGGGAAGAAAGGGCCUAUGGCCUAUGACGGUACCUGACUAAGAAGCCCCGGCUAACUACGUGCCAGCAGCCGCGGUAA
rnacentral:rRNA from 1 species